AUUGAACGCUGGCGGCAGGCUUAACACAUGCAAGUCGAGCGGAGAGAGGUAGCUUGCUACUGAUCUUAGCGGCGGACGGGUGAGUAAUGCUUAGGAAUCCGCCUAUUAGUGGGGGACAACAUUUCGAAAGGAAUGCUAAUACCGCAUACGUCCUACGGGAGAAAGCAGGGGAUCUUCGGACCUUGCGCUAAUAGAUGAGCCUAAGGCGGAUUAGCUAGUUGGUGGGGUAAAGGCCUACCAAGGCGACGAUCUGUAGCGGGUCUGAGAGGAUGAUCCGCCACACUGGGACUGAGACACGGCCCAGACUCCUACGGGAGGCAGCAGUGGGGAAUAUUGGACAAUGGGGGGAACCCUGAUCCAGCCAUGCCGCGUGUGUGAAGAAGGCCAUAUGGUUGUAAAGCACUUUAAGCGAGGAGGAGGCUACUGAGACUAAUACUCUUGGAUAGUGGACGUUACUCGCAGAAUAAGCACCGGCUAACUCUGUGCCAGCAGCCGCCGUAA
rnacentral:rRNA from 1 species